CCUGCUGUGCGACCAGCAGUUGCCUACCCGAACGUGCGCGAUUGGUAACGAUCGGGUGCGAAGCUUCGGGGACAACGAACCUGCCUGAAUGGCGAUCCACCUUGGUGACAAGGAAGGGAUCGACACUGCCAGCAGCCGUGCGGUGUGGGGG
rfam:Burkholderia sp. Bk sc_024, whole genome shotgun sequence.